CAAGAUGGCUGCCAGGUGCGGUGGCUAAGCUUGGGGACAUCUGAAGCCGGUGCCGACCAUCAGGGCCGAGUUGCGACGAGAGAGUUAUUAAACCGAGUUGAUAUCACAACACGAGGAGUUAUCAUGAGAGCUCUGCGGAUCUGACACGACAUGUUGGGGUGGAAGUUUGUUGUGUCUGCCGAGAAUUGAAGCGCGGCAAGAGAGAAAAAUGUCGGCUGCAAAACACUACAACAGAUGACGAUCCGGGGAGAGCGAGGCGAGAGCAACAGAUUGGAGACAAACAAAACAAGCAGAAGCAGUCAUGGAAGCAGCUGAUGGAGAGGAAGACACCCCUGAGAGGUGGAAAACGCAGAGGACUAAUUUUAAAUAGGAUUUAACUCCAGUUUGAUACUUUGCUAGUGGAAGGGAAGGAUUGUAUUGUUUGAUUUGUGUUAAACAAGCAAGAACAGCA